CCUACGGGAGGCAGCAGUGGGGAAUAUUGCGCAAUGGACGAAAGCCUGACGCAGCGACGCCGCGUGAGGGAUGAAGGUCUUCGGAUCGUAAACCUCUGUCAGCAGGGAAGAACGGUCACUCUGCUAUUCAUCAGUGAAUUGACUGUACCUGCAAAGGAAGCCUCGGCUAACUCCGUGCCCGCGGCCGCGGUAAUACGGCGGAUCCGUGCGUUACUCGGAAUUACUUGGCGUAAAGCGCGCGUAGGCGGUAUGUCAAGUCAAGGGUGAAAGCCCCGGGCUCAACGUGGGAAUUGCAUUUGAUACUGGCAAACUGGAGUGUAGGUGAGGUAAGUGGAAGUCGAGGUGUAGGGGUGAAAUGCGUAGAUAUCUGGAGGAAC
rnacentral:rRNA from 1 species